UCCAAUGCUACAUAUUGAGCUUGGCAAUAUUAACGACAGAAACCGAGUUAACUAUAUAAAUACAAACUGCAUAAGAAAUCUUGAUAUUGUCAAUGCUGCAGAAGAAAUUUAGAAAUAUUGUUUAGUUUGUUUUUGAGUGUAGUAACUUCAACACGCGCUUAAUAUGAACACGAUAACGUCUGUUUUCGUCAUUGUUGUGAUUUUAAGCGUAUUAAUGGUCACCCACUCGUUGCCACUUAUCGGAAAAGAAUUCGGUGGACCACUGGCCAAUACAGGAUAUGGACCUCCGCCAUUCACGACGUCAUUCUACUCGGAUCCUGAUUACGGAAUGGCACUCAAAGACUACAAAUAUUUGUAUUAAUAAAUAAUUAAUUUUUGUGAUCAGAAAAGUUAAAUCAUGUUAUAGUACAAAAUGAGUGGGUAUGGACGUGAAUUGCAAGGUUUGAUUUGCAAAACAAUGGAUGAAUAAACCAGGAAAGUAAUAAAAACUUCAUUAUUUCCUAUGAA